GAUGAACGCUGGCGGCGUGCUUAACACAUGCAAGUCGAACGAAGCUGCCCAAAGGAAGUUUUCGGAUGGAAUUUAGGUAGACUUAGUGGCGGACGGGUGAGUAACGCGUGGAUAACCUGCCUUAUACAGGGGGAUAACGGAGAGAAAUUUCCGCUAAGACCGCAUAAGACCACAGCACCGCAUGGUGCAGGGGUAAAAUAUUUAUAGGUAUAAGAUGGAUCCGCGUCCGAUUAGCUUGUUGGUGAGGUAGAGGCUCACCAAGGCGACGAUCGGUAGCCGGCCUGAGAGGGUGAACGGCCACAUUGGGACUGAGACACGGCCCAAACUCCUACGGGAGGCAGCAGUGGGGAAUAUUGGACAAUGGGGGGAACCCUGAUCCAGCGACGCCGCGUGAGUGAAGGAGUAUUUCGGUAUGUAAAGCUCUAUCAGCAGGG
rnacentral:rRNA from 1 species